GAUGAACGCUGGCGGCGUGCCUAACACAUGCAAGUCGAACGAAGCACCUUUUAAGAUUCUUCGGAUGAUUGAUUGGUGACUGAGUGGCGGACGGGUGAGUAACGCGUGGGUAACCUGCCCUGUACAGGGGGAUAACAGUUGGAAACGGCUGCUAAUACCGCAUAAGCGCACGAGAGGACAUCCUUUCGUGUGAAAAACUCCGGUGGUACAGGAUGGGCCCGCGUCUGAUUAGCUGGUUGGCAGGGUAACGGCCUACCAAGGCAACGAUCAGUAGCCGGUCUGAGAGGAUGAACGGCCACAUUGGAACUGAGACACGGUCCAAACUCCUACGGGAGGCAGCAGUGGGGAAUAUUGCACAAUGGGGGAAACCCUGAUGCAGCAACGCCGCGUGAGUGAAGAAGUAUUUCGGUAUGUAAAGCUCUAUCAGCAGGGAAGAUAAUGACGGUACCUGACUAAGAAGCUCCGGCUAAAUACGUGCCAGCAGCCGCGGUAAUACGUAUGGAGCAAGCGUUAUCCGGAUUUACUGGGUGUAAAGGGUGCGUAGGUGGCAGUGCAAGUCAGAUGUGAAAGGCCGGGGCUCAACCCCGGAGCUGCAUUUGAAACUGCAUAGCUAGAGUACAGGAGAGGCAGGCGGAAUUCCUAGUGUAGCGGUGAAAUGCGUAGAUAUUAGGAGGAACACCAGUGGCGAAGGCGGCCUGCUGGACUGUUACUGACACUGAGGCACGAAAGCGUGGGGAGCAAACAGG
rnacentral:rRNA from 1 species